UAGGUUUUUUAAAAAUUAAAGCUCAGGGU
rnacentral:piRNA from 1 species